rnacentral:rRNA from 1 species
GAUGAACGCUGGCGGCGUGCUUAACACAUGCAAGUCGAACGGAAAGGCCCAAGCUUGCUUGGGUACUCGAGUGGCGAACGGGUGAGUAACACGUGGGUGAUCUGCCCUGCACUUCGGGAUAAGCCUGGGAAACUGGGUCUAAUACCGGAUAGGACGAUGGUUUGGAUGCCAUUGUGGAAAGUUUUUUCGGUGUGGGAUGAGCUCGCGGCCUAUCAGCUUGUUGGUGGGGUAAUGGCCUACCAAGGCGUCGACGGGUAGCCGGCCUGAGAGGGUGUACGGCCACAUUGGGACUGAGAUACGGCCCAGACUCCUACGGGAGGCAGCAGUGGGGAAUAUUGCACAAUGGGCGCAAGCCUGAUGCAGCGACGCCGCGUGGGGGAUGACGGCCUUCGGGUUGUAAACCCCUUUCGCUAGGGACGAAGCGUUUUUGUGACGGUACCUGGAGAAGAAGCACCGGCUAACUACGUG